rnacentral:rRNA from 1 species
UUUGGGGGAGAAGCGUUGUUAAAGAACUCGGCAAAUUGACCCCGUAAGUUCGCAAUAAGGGGUGCCUCAGAAAUGAGGUCGCAGAGAAUAGGCCCAAGCAACUGUUUAACAAAAACACAGGUCUCUGCUAAAUCGAAAGAUGAAGUAUAGGGGCUGACGCCUGCCCGGUGCUGGAAGGUUACGGGAAUCUGUCAACGAAAGUGAAGCAGUGAACUUAAGCCCCAGUAAACGGCGGCCGUAACUAUAACGGUCCUAAGGUAGCGAAAUUCCUUGUCAGGUAAGUUCUGACCCGCACGAAUGGCGUAAUGAUUUGGGCACUGUCUCAACAACGUACCCGGCGAAAUUGUAGUACUUGUGAAGAUGCAAGUUACCCGCGACUAGACGGAAAGACCCCAUGGAGCUUUACUGUAGCCUGAUACUGGGUUUCGGUAUUCUUUGUACAGGAUAGGUGGGAGGUUAGGAAGUAUGGACGCCAGUUCAUAUGGAACCGACGUUGGGAUACCACUCUAAGAAUACUGGAACUCUAACCUGAGGCCAUAAGCUGGUCUAGGGACACUGUCAGGUGGGCAGUUUGACUGGGGCGGUCGCCUCCCAAAAGGUAACGGAGGCGUUCAAAGGUUACCUCAGCGCGGUUGGAAAUCGCGCAACGAGUGCAAAGGCAUAAGGUAGCCUGACUGCGAGACAGACAAGUCGAGCAGGUACGAAAGUAGGACUUAGUGAUCCGGCGGUAUGAAAGUGGAAUUGCCGUCGCUCAACGGAUAAAAGCUACCCUGGGGUUAACAGGCUGAUCUCCCCCAAGAGUCCACAUCGACGGGGAGGUUUGGCACCUGAUGUCGGCUCAUCGCAUCCUGGAGCUGAAGUAGGUUCCAAGGGUUUGGCUGUUCGCCAAUUAAAGCGGUACGCGAGCUGGGUUCAGAACGUCGUGAGACAGUUCGGUCCCUAUCUGUCGCGGGCGCAGGAUAUUUGAAGGGAUCUGUCCUUAGUACGAGAGGACCGGGAUGGACGAACCUCUGGUGUACCAGUUGUACUACCAAGUGCAUAGCUGGGUAGCCAAGUUCGGAAGGGAUAAACGCUGAAGGCAUCUAAGCGUGAAACCCACCCUAAGAUGAGAUAUCCCACCGUAAGGGUAAGACCCCAUGUAGACUACAUGGUUGAUAGGCCAGAGGUGUAAGUGCAGUAAUGUAUUUAGCUGACUGGUACUAAUAGGUCGAGGGCUUGACU